GAUGAAAAAAAAAAACUAAAAAAAGCAAACAGUAUCAUGAAAAAGAGCAACAUAACCACACAUUUCCUUCUGCCUGCAUUUGUUUUGCUCAGACCACCACUUCUCACUCAGGUCCAGCUUUCCAGUAUUCAUCAGUAAAACAAGAUAUCAGGGAGCAGCAAGAGCCCUAGAGGUGUCUUCCUCUUCUCUGAAUCCUGAAGCUUGUCACAAGACAAGAGGAUUGUUCAUGAGUAUCUUGUAGAUCAGCAGUGUGACUUCAGUGAUUGUUCAAAAGCAGAAAGGACAAUAGAAAUGCUGCAUCUCUUGGGAGCCUCUAGG